rnacentral:rRNA from 1 species
GAUGAACGCUGGCGGCGUGCCUAAUACAUGCAAGUCGAGCGAACAGACGAGGAGCUUGCUCCUCUUACGUUAGCGGCGGACGGGUGAGUAACACGUGGAUAACCUACCUAUAAGACUGGGAUAACUUCGGGAAACCGGAGCUAAUACCGGAUAAUAUAUUUAACCGCAUGGUUCAAUAGUGAAAGACGGUUUUGCUGUCACUUAUAGAUUGAUCCGCGCCGCAUUAGCUAGUUGGUAAGGUAACGGCUUACCAAGGCGACGAUGCCUAGCCGACCUGAUAGGGGGAUCGGCCAAACUGGAACGGAGAAACGGUCAAGACGCCUACGGGAGGCAGCAGUAGGGAAUCUUCCGCAAUGGGCGAAAGCCUGACGGAGCAACGCCGCGUGAGGGAUGAAGGUCUUCGGAUCGUAAAACUCUGUUAUUAGGGAAGAAAAAAUGUGUAAGUAAAUAUGCACGGAUUGACGGUACCGAAACAGAAAGCCACGGCUAACUACGUG